rnacentral:sRNA from 1 species
AAGAGAACCCUGGAGACUGAAGCCUCCUGUUUAUCCACAGAAUAAAUACAGCACAGACUACAGUCCUGCAAGCUGCCCCCACUCUACACCACUCAUGUGCAUUUCCUUGGACUCAGAGGCUAGAAAGUAGCUCCGUCUCCAUCCACAUUCAGGCUUUACCCUCU